UACGUAGGUGGCAAGCGUUGUCCGGAUUUAUUGGGCGUAAAGAGCUCGUAGGCGGCUCGGUAAGUCGGAUGUGAAACCUCCAGGCUCAACCUGGAGACGCCAUCUGAUACUGCCGUGGCUUGAGUCCGGUAGAGGAGCAGGGAAUUCCUGGUGUAGCGGUGAAAUGCGCAGAUAUCAGGAGGAACACCUGUGGUGUAGACAGCUUACUGGACCAUUUCUGACGCUGAGACACGAAAGCGUGGGUAGCAAACAGG
rnacentral:rRNA from 1 species